AUUGAACGCUGGCGGCAUGCCUUACACAUGCAAGUCGAACGGCAGCACGGGAGCAAUCCUGGUGGCGAGUGGCGAACGGGUGAGUAAUAUAUCGGAACGUGCCCAGUAGUGGGGGAUAACUGCUCGAAAGAGCAGCUAAUACCGCAUACGACCUGAGGGUGAAAGGGGGGGAUCGCAAGACCUCUCGCUAUGGGAGCGGCCGAUAUCAGAUUAGCUGGUUGGUGGGGUAAAGGCCUACCAAGGCAACGAUCUGUAGUUGGUCUGAGAGGACGACCAGCCACACUGGGACUGAGACACGGCCCAGACUCCUACGGGAGGCAGCAGUGGGGAAUUUUGGACAAUGGGCGCAAGCCUGAUCCAGCAAUGCCGCGUGCAGGAAGAAGGCCUUCGGGUUGUAAACUGCUUUUGUCAGGGAAGAAAUCCUCUAGGUUAAUACCCUUGGGGGGAUGACGGUACCUGAAGAAUAAGCACCGGCUAACUACGUGCCAGCAGCCGCCUAACAC
rnacentral:rRNA from 1 species